CUGUGGCGAGAGGAUUCAGUCCGGCGCGGAGCGCGCGCUUGAGCGGAAGGGCUUCCCGGUACGGGUGCCGUCCGUUCGCGCGGUCGUUUCGCGUCGGACGCAUUUGACUCUCGUCCUGAGGACGCUGCAGCCGGCGGGGGAGUGUGAAAACGCGACGGCCUGAGAGGCGGGAGAACGGCAGUUGGCCGGUGGCGCGCCGAGAGCGCGUGUGCCGGUCGUUAGCCCUCCCGUCGGUGGCACGUCCCCCCGCCGUGGUAUCGAUUGUGUCCGUGAAGGGCACGGCUCCGUCUCCAACCACCAGGUGCGAGAAGCCAGCCGCUGGAGAAGGCCGCCGACCCGUCGCACUCCCGGGCGAGUGGACGUUCGAGCAGGUCGGCCCCGCAGGCGGCGGCGAGGACUCGCGGGAGACCGGAGGCUCGCAGCGAGUAGGUCGGUCACCCACCCGACCCGUCUUGAAACACGGACCAAGGAGUCUGACAUGUGCGCGAGUCAAUGGGUCUUGAACAGGCCCAGGGGCGCAAUGAAAGCAAAGGUCGGCCGAGCGCCGACCGAGUCGGGAUCCCCGGCUCCGACCGGGGCGCACCGACGACCCGUCCCGUCCGGCUCGCCGGUGGGGCGGAGUUUGAGCGCACACGUUGGGACCCGAAAGAUGGUGAACUAUGCCCGGACAGGACGACGCCAGAGGAAACUCUGGUGGAGGUCCGCAGCGGU
rnacentral:rRNA from 1 species